rnacentral:tRNA from 1 species
GGGGUCGUAGCUCAGUUUGGUUAGAGCGCCAGUCUGUCACACUGGAGGCCGCGAGUUCAAGUCUCGUCGGCCCCG